GUGAUUCGAGCACUUUUUAUGGGAUCGAAUAUGGUGCACUUCUCGUACAGUUAUUUCACAGCAGGACUUACAAUGUUUCAAAUUUCAAGACAACCUAUUGGUAGCAUUAAAUUUUUUUCCAUGAUAUCUGGCUGUAGUUCGUGUGUUUUUGGAUUGGUAUGUUACUGUGAAGCUGGACAGAAGAUCACUAACGAGAUGCAUUCGUUUUGGCAAAAUCUGUACUUUUCCGAUUGGUAUGAGCAACCUGUCAAAUACAGAAGAUCAACAAUUUUUGCAUUACUGACAACUCAAAAAAACUAUUUUAUGUUGGCUGGAAAGUUAAUGACAUUGUCAAGAGAGACGGAAAAACAGAUACUUCAAGCUAUUUUUACAUAUUACACUUUUUUACUGCAAUUCAAUCAAUAGAUGCGUUGAAUAAAAACUCUCAAAGGUACGUAAAAGCAUCGACGAUAUUUCUUCAACGAGAAAGUUCUUUUAAAGUAGUUAUUUUCUAGAUAUGUAUCAGUAUCUUCUGAUGCUAUCUUCUGGAUGAGUACUUGUAACCAAAUGAGUAAGAUUAUUGAAUCCUGGAAUCCUGAAUCUUGGUUUUUAGAAGCAUUCAAUAUAAAAUGAGUCAAUCUAUUAUAUAAAAAAAGAACAAACAAUUUCAUCGUUUUAAUUUGUUAUUUUUGCAAUUUCACGUUAUUUUAAUUAAAUUUAAUAAAAUUACUUAAAAAGGAUAUUGUUUUUAUUUAAUAUCAAUUUUGUUUUGAAAUAAUGUAUAAUGUAAUAAUAAAAAAGAAUUAAUUUUGCACUCGUUUUUAAACACUCUCUUCUCACAAUGACGUUAUAUGAAUACGACCAUUCGAGUUGCUCCUAAAAAUAAAGGCAAAGUUGAAGUUCACUAAUAAACAAAUUCUGCGAAAAAAUAUGUAUGUUUUUAAGACUAUAUGAGGUUUGCAUUCUCUCGUAUUGUUUUAAUUCGUUAAAACAAUAAAUCUUAAAUUUUCCGUUAUAAACUGUUCAUUAUAACUAUUCAUUAGUUUUAAGCGAUACCGUUAUUUUCGGUAGGGUAUAAUAAUAAUUAAACAGACUUGUGCCGCAAUCAGGUAUCGUAUGAGAAUAUCAUUCAAAUCUUUGAGAAAGAUUUCUUUAUUUAUCUACAAUAUUGCCGAAA